rnacentral:misc_RNA from 1 species
GCAAAGGCAUUGGGGGAAAUGGGUAGCCGAGAUUCGUCUCCCUCGCAAUAGGACUCGCCUUUGGCUAGGCACCUUUGACACAGCUGAAGAAGCUGCCUUGGCUUAUGAUCGCGAGGCUUUCAAGUUGAGAGGAGAGAAUGCAAGGCUGAAUUUCCCUGAACUUUUCCUCAAUAAGGAUAAAGAAAUCUCCAUUGUUCCAACUUCUACAGUUUCGUCUCCGCCAACUCCCAAUCAAAGUUCAUCACCAAAACAAACUCAAGAAACCCUUGACUUGCAGGCUUCAAGCAUGGAAAUUAUGCCACCACCACCUCCAGUGCCGGCCCCGUCACAACAGCCUCAAGGAGACAAUCCUGACAAUGAUUCAGGAAUGGGUUCAAGUGGGGCUACAGUGAGUGAUGAGGUUCAGGCGGUAGCAGAGGGAUGCAGUGGAGCAGAAGGCGUUUCCGGGUCUCAAGAAUUGGUAUGGGGAGACAUGGCAGAAGCUUGGUUCAAUGCAAUUCCAGCAGGAUGGGGACCGGGAAGUCCAGUGUGGGAUGAUUUGGACACCACUAAUAAUCUGUUAUUGCAAUCACACAUUCCUUUUGGCAAUCCAAAUCAACAACAGUUUAAUGAUUCUUCUGACUUGCAGAGACAACAGCACAACGUGGAUUCAGCUUCUUCUUCUUCCUCCUCCUCGUCUUUUCCCAUGAAGCCCUUCUUUUGGAAGGAUCAAGACUGAUUGGUCUCAUCUCCAGAAGUGAUUUUUUAAGGAAACCAAACUGUGACUCUUUAACCCUGCCAUAUAUGCUUAGGAGAAUUUCAUCUUCAAGCCCAUCACUUAUCAGGUUGCAGAUUUUUCACAAACAACCUAUGACUUCCCUUGGAGCUUGAUUACUUUUUCCUAUGAGGAUGUCCAAAGCUUCAAAUCCACUUCCUUUUACUGUUUUCUUUGUUUUACAACUCUUUUUCAUUUAGAAGUUUCAUAAU